CGUUUUGCGGCAAUCUUCCCAAAGAAAGCAACUUUCGCGCAAUAAGUGCAAUAGUGUGCCGAUGGCUUCGUAGUGACUGCUUAUGUAUAGAGGCGAUCGCGUUUUUGUCGCGCACAUUCCGCACGAACCGCGUGUGCAAGACGAUAUUGAAUGCACUUUUAUUUGAGCUUUGAAAAUUGCAAAGGAAGUUUAGCGGCGUAUGUUUAGCAACCGAGCAAGCCGAAGAAGAAGAAAAAAGUACACCAAAAGAAGCGCCCCCUAUUGCGCGCUACUACUUCUCAGAACAGCACAGCAGAUCUGGCAGAUUGGCGUUGACUCCGCCUAUACUCGGCGCAUGCCGAUACGGCCGAAGUUUGCCGAAGCCUGCCCGGGCCCUGCCCGUCCAUUAGGUAAACAAACAGAAGGCCACGCAGGCCACCGAGGCACAUCGGAGACACAUUGGGCCGCGCCGUUUGCCGAAAUCAAAAAUAUAAUAUACUAAUAAUUUGCAGGAUGCACUUGGUGCUUAGUGGCCAGAUAUCACACGGUGGGCAAGACAUACGGUGGUGAUGUACAUGUUCAAAACCCACGGCAAUCACUAAUGUGACGGGAGAGAGAGAGGGUAUGAAAUAUAGAUGACGGAGAACGACUUGCGAGUACAUACCGUUGGUUGGCAUUUUUCGACACCGAAAUCGAGAUGGAGACGAACGGCCCGGCCCGGAGUCGUCGCUUAUUCUCAGUAAUAAUUUUACACAAAGUGCUGAAGCUAAAGUGUAGAAAAAGGUUAAAUAUUUUCACUUAAGUGUGUUCACACAGGAAUAAAGGCAGAGAAAACCAUCUUUCUGUGGUUCACGUGCGUGUGUGUGUGUGCUAUGAACUGUGUCUAGAAUAAGGGACGUGUAAAAAAAAGAUAAUAAAAUUAUUGCUUUGCUUGUACUAAAGCGUGUUUUGUGAAAUGUUUGUUGUAAUAUUGAUACUUAUUUUGUCUUGUUUUUUUUUUUUAUGUGUUGGUGUUGUUUGUUCUCCCUUGAAGAUGUUCAAUACUCAUACGAACGUUGUCUGCUGCCUCCGUUCAAAGCCUACUAUUGUGUGUGCGCUAGAUAAAAAGUAAAGGCAACCCAGCAGUUGGAGUGAGAAACGCACCCAAUAACAACAACACGAGCAGGAGAGCAGAGUACAAUGCACGACACAGGCAGGAGCGCGUGUGGCUAUCGAAAUAUCUCGUAUCUAUCGGUGUGGCAGCAUCUUGGCGACUUGAGGUGGACGAAGCAAUAGUAGGCUGCGGACGUUGUGAGUGCGCGUGGUUUCCGGGUGUUUGUGCGUGUGUG